rnacentral:rRNA from 1 species
UGGGGAAUAUUGGACAAUGGGGGCAACCCUGAUCCAGCAAUGCCGCGUGUGUGAAGAAGGCCUGCGGGUUGUAAAGCACUUUCAGUAGAGAAGAAAAGCCUAGAGAUAAUACCUUUGGGUCUUGACGUUACCUACAGAAGAAGCACCGGCUAACUCCGUGCCAGCAGCCGCGGUAAUACGGAGGGUGCGAGCGUUAAUCGGAAUUACUGGGCGUAAAGCGCGCGUAGGCGGUUUUAUAAGUCGGAUGUGAAAGCCCUGGGCUUAACCUGGGAAUUGCAUUCGAAACUAUCUGACUAGAGUAUGGGAGAGGGAAGUGGAAUUUCCGGUGUAGCGGUGAAAUGCGUAGAUAUCGGAAGGAACACCAGUGGCGAAGGCGACUUCCUGGACCAAUACUGACGCUGAGGUGCGAAAGCGUGGGGAGCAAACAGGAUUAGAUACCCCCGUAGUCC